rnacentral:lncRNA from 1 species
CGGCAAACCCCAAAUUUUCCCCGAAAAGGCCAGGCACAGGCAAACGAAUUAACACCCCCUCUUGCUCAAAGAUCGAUUGGCUUUGGCUGGACGUGUCCUCCAGAGAGAAUUGCUGGGCGGUGACCAGGUUUCAGUGAGGAGAUGGACCCCUGGGCGGGCACCGGCAGUCCAGACAUCUCCAGCAGCCUCCUCCCACCCUCAAACGCGCCUUCCAGUAGGGUCUGCGGGCGCGGCUGCAGCAGAUCCCGGCGCCCCUGGAGCGCGCCGCGCCGCCGCCGCUGCAGCACGGUCGCAGCGACCUUCCCGCCCGCAUCUCCGGGAGCCCCGUUACCCACGUCCCCACACCCCACCCGAGAAAAAAGGGAGGGGGACGCACAACAAAGCCCAAUCCGAGGAGGCCCAAGUGAGCUCCCAGACUUUGCUUGGCCAUGAGGAUGGAGAGAGCAACUGGAGUCCUUGCUCAGAGCAACGGGCACAGUGGAGCCAGAGCAGUCUGCAGAAGUCACACCCUGGACUAGAAGUUUUGAGGAGCACCAGAGAGCCAAGAUUCAACAGUUGGCACACUUCCUCCAGGACGUUCAGAAACCACCCGAAAAGUAAAUUCAGAAGAAAAAUGGGCUUCCUGCAGCCCAUGAAGAGGGAUCUAUUGCAAUUUGGAUAUUAAAGAAGAAUGUUCUUGGUGUUUUAGUUGCUGGAGCAACUGCGGUCUGCCGUCUUCACUUUCCUUGUGGUGAAGUAUUUCCUUUGAAGAAAGCAGGAUUGGCAAGCUCCCCACAUUCACUUGCUCAUUCAUUUUUCAUUCAUUUUCCUCUUAAAAGAGAAAAAAUAAUCCGUAGAGUUCUCAACUGACUUGAGUUGAAACAAUGAACUGAACAAUUGAAAUAAAUUUAUUGUUACUGUACAGUUUUUCUUUUCUUUUUAAAGCCAUGUGGGUAUUCUCAGUAAAAGAGCCCUUUUUUCAGAUUGAUUAUACUGCAAGUAAUGGAG